ensembl:lncRNA
AACAAAUUACACAACCGAAACACAACAAAGCCAAAACUUUUUUACAAUGCUAAACUGAACAGACUGGUUUGAGUUCUUACAUCUCCCGAACACUUACAAGCACCUGCAGAGGAGCAUAAGGACUGGCAGAACAUGGAACAAACUAUCCCAAAUGGGACAUCCCAAUAGAAGAGAUCAACCUUGGCUUCUCUUUCCCCAAAGGAAACCACCUGAGGGCUGAAGUCCCUCACCCAGGACUAACCAUACAUUCCAAUCCUGCUAGGACUCUGCUAAAGCAUUAUACUGAUCCUAAAGUCUCCUGUGUAUCUUUGCAAGUUGACUUAACCCACCAAGUCUGAAGCAGGGUUACCAUCUAUUUCUUCUGGCACAAGGGGACAAGCGGAGAAGAGCUGAAGACACG